rnacentral:rRNA from 1 species
GCAGAACGCGAAGAACCUUACCAGGACUUGACAUGGAAAGGACCGGACGAGAGAUCGUUCUUCUUCCGCAAGGAAGCCUUUCACACAGGUGCUGCAUGGCUGUCGUCAGCUCGUGUCGUGAGAUGUUGGGUUAAGUCCCGCAACGAGCGCAACCCUCGUCUCUAGUUGCCAUCAUUCAGUUGGGCACUCUAGAGAGACUGCCGCGAAUAACGCGGAGGAAGGUGGGGACGACGUCAAGUCAUCAUGGCCCUUACGUCCUGGGCUACACACGUGCUACAAUGGGCGUCACAGAGGGUCGCAAGAGCGUAAGCUGGAGCCAAUCCCCAAAAACGUCCUCAGUUCAGAUCGAGGUCUGCAACCCGACCUCGUGAAGGUGGAAUCGCUAGUAAUCGCGGAUCAGAACGCCGCGGUGAAUACGUUCCCGGGUCUUGUACACACCG